rnacentral:rRNA from 1 species
GACGAACGCUGGCGGCGUGCUUAACACAUGCAAGUCGAACGGUGAUGCUCCAGCUUGCUGGAGUGGAUCAGUGGCGAACGGGUGAGUAACACGUGAGCAACCUGCCCCAGACUCUGGAAUAAGCGCUGGAAACGGCGUCUCAUACUGGAUACGAAACUGGCCCGCAUGGGCUUGGUUUGGAAAGUUUUUCGGUUUGGGAUGGGCUCGCGGCCUAUCAGCUUGUUGGUGAGGUAAUGGCUCACCAAGGCGACGACGGGUAGCCGGCCUGCGAGGGCGACCGGCCACACUGGGACUGAGAAACGGCCCAGACUCCUACGGGAGGCAGCAGUGGGGAAUAUUGCUAAAUGGGCGAAAGCCUGAUGCAGCGACGCCGCGUGAGGGAUGACGGCCUUCGGGUUGUAAACCUCUUUCAGCAGGGAAGAAGCGAAAGUGACGGUACCUGCAGAAGAAGCACCGGCUAACUACGUG